UACUCUGGUCACAACAGGUCGGGGGU
rnacentral:piRNA from 1 species